UAUCAAUGCAGACAUGGAUAGCGACACGGCCAAGCACUUCUGAUAGCCCUCUCGAAAAAGCCGCUGUGAGGGCGUCCAUUUGAAAGGCACUGGACCCCACAUGUUCACAUCUCUUUAUCAUCUCCUCUAGGCCAGCAUCAUUAUCUAAUGGGCCCAGGUCCUCCCUCCGUCGGAUUCAAACGCCAGGCAGGCAUCUAGCCAUGCCUUGGGGUCCAUAUCUCCUUCUGCCACUGCCUUCUGGAACUGUCCUAGUCUGGUUGGGGUGUCCUCCAUGGCCCCACA